GGUUGAUUCCUGCCAGUAGUCAUAUGCUUGUCUCAAAGAUUAAGCCAUGCAUGUCUAAGUAUAAGUUUUUAUACGGCGAAACUGCGAAUGGCUCAUUACAACAGUUAUAGUUUAUUUGAUGGUCCUCCCUACAUGGAUAACCAUGGCAAUUCUGUGGCUAAUACAUGCGCAAUCGCUUCCAUCUCUGGUGGAGCUGUGUUUAUUAGAUACCAAAACCAACCCUCUUCGGAGGUAAAAUGGUUAGUCAUAGUAACCGAACGGAUCGCCUCACGGCGAUAGAUCAUUCAAGUUUCUGACCUAUCAGCUUUCGACGGUAGGGUAUUGGCCUACCGUGGCUAUGACGGGUAACGGGGAAUUAGGGUUCGAUUCCGGAGAGGGAGCCUGAGAAACGGCUACCACAUCUAAGGAAGGCAGCAGGCGCGCAAAUUACCCAAUGAAAACAGUUUCGAGGUAGUGACGAGAAAUAACAAUACAGGGCAUCAAAUGUCUUGUAAUUGGAAUGACUUAAAUCCAAACCCCUUUCGGAGUAACAAUUGGAGGGCAAGUCUGGUGCCAGCAGCCGCGGUAAUUCCAGCUCCAAUAGCGUAUAUUAGCGUUGUUGCAGUUAAAAAGCUCGUAGUUGAAUUUCUGCUGGGUUCGACCGGUACACUCUUGUGUAACAUGGUUUCCCCUAGCAUUCUCUCGGUAGCAUCCCCUCCUUAAUCGGUUGGGAUGUAUUUCUGAGACUUUUACUUUGAGAAAAAUAGAGUGUUUCAAGCAGGCUUUUGCCUUGAAUACUGCAGCAUGGAAUAAUAAGAUAGGACUUUGGUUCUAUUUUGUUGGUUCUAGAACUAAAGUAAUGAUUAAUAGGGACAGUUGGGGGCAUUCGUAUUUAAUUGUCAGAGGUGAAAUUCUUAGAUUUGUUAAAGACGAACGACUGCGAAAGCAUUUGCCAAGGAUGUUUUCAUUAAUCAAGAACGACAGUAGGGGGUUUGAAGACGAUUAGAUACCGUCGUAAUCUCUACCAUAAACAAUGCCAACUAGAGAUAGGAAAAUGCCUAUCUUGGCUUCUCCUGCACCUUGUGAGAAAUCAAAGUCUCUGGGUUCUGGGGGGAGUAUAUUUGCAAAAAAGAAACUUAAAGGAAUUGACGGAAGGGCACCACCAGGCGUGGAGCCUGCGGCUUAAUUUGACUCAACACGGGAAAUCUCACCAGGUCCAGACAUAGAAAGGAUUGACAGAUUGAUAGCUCUUUCUUGAUACUAUGGGUGGUGGUGCAUGGCCGUUCUUAGUUGGUGGAGUGAUCUGUCUGGUUAAUUUCGAUAACGAACGAGACCAUAACCUGCUAAAUAGGGUCGGGAAAUCCGUUUCCCGCAUCACUUCUUAGAGGGACUUCGUGCGUCUAGCGCGAGGAAGUUUGUGGCAAUAACAGGUCUGUGAUGCCCUUAGAUGUUCUGGGCUGCACGCGCGCUACACUGACGCAUCCAACGAGUUCAUUCCUUGGCCGGCAGGUCUUGGUAAUCUUGUGAGUAUGCGUCGUGAUGGGGAUAGAUUAUUGCAACUAUUAAUCUUCAACGAGGAAUGCCUAGUAGGCGCAUGUCAUCAGCAUGCGCCGAUUACGUCCCUGCCCUUUGUACACACCGCCCGUCGCUGCAACCGAUCGGAAGGUCCUGUGAGUUAGUUGGAGUGCCCAUUUGUUCUAUUGUUCAUAUGGGUGUUAAAAUUUGCAAACAGGACCUUCUAAAGGAUGCAAAAGUCGUAACACGGUUUCCGUAGGUGAACCUG
rnacentral:rRNA from 1 species